ensembl:snoRNA SNORA70 Small nucleolar RNA SNORA70
AUGCAAGUUAAAAAUCACAGUAAGAACUAACUUCUCAUGGGACCUGUUGUACAAAGGCUACAAACAUCAAGUUGCCUCCUUUGCAGCUUAUGAUACAGCCUGAUAUUUGUACAGGUUCCCCUAAAGAACCUUGGCGACAAUC